AAAUAUUAGAAAGAAGAUGAAGAAACCGCACGCUGCGAUCCUAAAAUAGCAAAAUUCGAUUCAUUUUCUUCUCUGUGUAUUUCUGCCGGUGACGCACCCACACAGGCGUUCAGAAAUAAAUACAUAACACAUUACGCCAAUGGAUGUAAUGAAAAAUCAACGCCGAUGCAAACUGAUAAAGGAGGACGCAAUGAAUAGAGUUUUGAUGAGACAGCAAAAACCACAAACUUCUAAGGAGAUGAAGCAAAAUCUAAAGGACCUGGGGAUAGGG